UCUGUCCUGCUCGAUUUACUGAGCGCCCCCAAGUGUCAGCCACUGGGGAUGUGGCCGUGACUUAGUGGAACGUGGGAGGGACCGUGCGCUCUCCCGGAUCCCACCUCACUCCUGCCCCUGCGCCCCGCACACGUGCGCGGAUGCACACGCGCAACACACACGCUGGCUCUUCACCCUUGGGCCUCCAGCCGGCGCCUCCUAUGCCUCUGUCUCCAAGCCCGCUCAGGGAAGCGACUAAUUAACGGGUCACACUGAGGUGUGAACGUAUGAGAAGUUACACUUCUACCUGUGCCAGAAAUAAUUGCUUUUGAAGAACUUUCAACCACCUUGAGUGAAAGGACACCGUCGUGGCGUGAGAUCAGGCAAGAACCACAUCUUGUCGUUUUGUUUGCUGGCUUUACCCUGGGCCCGAGACUAAAGUAACCGUCUCUAGAAUCUCACCAGAUAAAGAAUCUGAGGCUCAGAGGAGUUUUCCACACCCUUCCUAGCGGCAGAACCGGGAUCAGGUUGCCUAGAAAAAUAAUGAAUUUUCCAUCCUCAAGAAGUCUCUACCGUAAGUUAUAUCAUGCAAAUGUAUAUUUGUAUUGCACGUAGGAAUUCGUUGCUGGCUAAGAAAGAUGGUUUGAAGGAAAACUUUCUUUUUUCAGUUCUUUAGUGUGGGCUGGCAUGGGGAACCCCAAAGAUAUUGCUCUGAGGCUGGAUUUUCCCAGUAUUAACAAGUAAAAUCAUGGAGAUAUGGAAGAGAAGAAAUAAUUUUGAACUUUUCCCUCUAUAAUACUUUUACUGAGACUUUAGAUCCAAGUGACAUUCUAACUGUAUUUCUUGUGUCUCUCCAGCCUUGGCCCAUGCCAUUGUCUUCUGCUUCCUUUCCAUACUCACAUGAUUAGCAUGUAAGUCUUCCUCCUCUCUCUAGAAAAGUCCCCAAACUCCAUUACUCAAAUGGUUUCCCCAGGGCUAGACUCCUGGGUGCUCCUGGACUGGUCCCUUCGGCCCUUCCCUCUGGCCCUCUCCUCUUGCCCUGGCGAGCUCCUUAAUCCCCCCCCCCCCAUCCUGCUGAGCACAGGACCCCCAAAGGAUGCCACCAGUGAUGUUUCUCCAAUCCUUCACAGCACAGCUCAGGCCAGGCUAUGACUUUAUACAGGACUCCAUUGAAGGAUAUCCCUUGUUUAACAGAAAUGCCCAGAAAUGUCUUAAGAGUCACGAGCCCAAACCCAAACUCUGGUUGAGGCACCGGCAGCCUCCUUCAAUGGGGGGUGGUGGAGGGGAAGAGUGGGAAACUCUGGGCUUAGGCAGAAUUCCCUGAAAGGGGGAAUUCGUGUUGAACCUUUUAUCAGUUAAUUGUCUCUCAGCUCUGCAUUCACCCUUUUUGUCUGUUCCGUAAAAAUUAACCUGGGCCCUUUAUGUAGUUUUCCUUGCUUCCCUCCCCCUGCCAUGUUAUGCUUUGCCUGUAGGGGGUGCUGGACAGAGAUUACAGGAGGAAAACCAGUAUCUCUGGUGUGCUCCUGGAAAAUCAGGCUCUUACAGAGGCUUCUCGGGUUUCUGUGGCGCACCGAGCUUCCCUGGUGCCCAGCUACUGCUCUGCCUACCAGCCGGCAGCAUCCAACAACCCUGGCACUCCCUCACAUGGUUUUGAGAUACCUCCCUAUGAACCUAGAGAGUCGAUUUCCAGGAAGUUCUAGGGGCCAGAUUUCUAGCAAGUUCUACCAGCACGGCAUGACAGUGACUUCUCUGUCAUCUAGUGAGUCACAGCCACACUCUCUUCAGCAAGAUUUGGAUCUCAGCCCCAGGGUGAGGAGAAGGUGGGGGACUGUCUGUCUCGGCUCAAAGCAGGGGUAGCGGCUUGUUACGUUGUUAUGUUACGUCACGUUACUUUACGUGUUAUAGGCCGUGCGCUGUGGUAAUUAGCUCAGAAUCACGUAUUUGACUUUAUUGGCCCUUCUUUCUGUGGCUCACUCACACCCUCACUCCUGCCUUGUGGAACCACUCCCCAAAUGAACUACCAAGUCCUCCCCUCAAGAUCUGCUUUUGGGAGAACGUAAACUAAGGUAGACAUGCACCCCCCCAGCGAGGGAGGGACAAUUCCAGUCUAAGCAAAGUGACAGGGACAGAACGAAGGGUCGGGAGCUUUCUCCUCCCUCUGAAUUUGUCAUCUCCCUGUAAUUUCAAAACUGUUUCACAUCCAUGGCCCUGGGGGGCACUGGAAAUGACUCAGAGCUAGGAAGAAUGACCUCAUCUUCUGGAUGACAGAACCAAGGUGCAAAAAGAUCUUGACCUGCUGAAGCAACGGGGCUUCCAUCAACAGGACGAAAUUGAAGAGAUAAACAAGUGCUCCGUUUAAGUUCAUAAAGAAAGUCAGUUAUCCACAGACUGAACAUGAUAGCGAUUCGUUUGAAACGAAAUGUGGGGUUUUUCACUGAUCACAAUGUCCCUAUGAGUCAGGACUUCAGAAAAAAAAAAAAAAAA